CUUGGCGGCAAUAGCGAGACGGACCCACGCCUUCCCAUUCCGAACAGGACCGUGAAACGCCUCUGCGCCGAUGAUAGUGCGGAUUCCCGUGUGAAAGUAGGUCACCGCCAGGC
rnacentral:rRNA from 1 species